AGCGAACGCUGGCAGCAGGCCUAACACAUGCAAGUCGAACGAACCCUUCGGGGUUAGUGGCGGACGGGUGAGUAACACGUGGGAACGUGCCUUUAGGUUCGGAAUAACUCAGGGAAACUUGUGCUAAUACCGAAUGUGCCCUUCGGGGGAAAGAUUUAUCGCCUUUAGAGCGGCCCGCGUCUGAUUAGCUAGUUGGUGAGGUAAUGGCUCACCAAGGCUACGAUCAGUAGCUGGUCUGAGAGGAUGACCAGCCACAUUGGGACUGAGACACGGCCCAAACUCCUACGGGAGGCAGCAGUGGGGAAUCUUACGCAAUGGGCGAAAGCCUGACGCAGCCAUGCCGCGUGGAUGAUGAAGGUCUUAGGAUUGUAAAAUACUUUCACCGGGGAAGAUAAUGACGGUACCCGGAGAAGAAGCCCCGGCUAACUUCGUGCCAGCCGCCGCAGUAACAC
rnacentral:rRNA from 1 species